UGCAAGUCGAACGGAGUAUGUAACCGAGACUUCGGGUCUCACCUGAUAUACUUAGUGGCGGACGGGUGAGUAACGCGUGAGCAACCAACCUUAUGCAGAGGGAUAACAAUUAGAAAUGAUUGCUAAUACCUCAUAAGACCACGCUAUCGCAUGGUAAAGUGGGAAAAAACUCCGGUGGCAUAAGACGGGCUCGCGUUCGAUUAGCUAGAUGGUGGGUAACGGCCUACCAUGGCGACGAUCGAUAGCCGGACUGAGAGGUCGACCGGCCACAUUGGGACUGAGACACGGCCCAGACUCCUACGGGAGGCAGCAGUGGGGAAUAUUGCACAAUGGGGGAAACCCUGAUGCAAGCGACGCCGCGUGAGUGAAGAAGUAUUUCGGUAUGUAAAGCUCUUUUAGCAGGGAAGAUGAUGACGGUACCUGCAGAAAAAGCCCCGGCUAAAUACGUGCCAGCCGCUGC
rnacentral:rRNA from 1 species